rnacentral:lncRNA from 1 species
CCAGGAGAGCCGACAUCUGCCCACCCCCAUCGCAUUUCCCUGCUGGCGCUGAACGGGCCUUCCUGGUUGACAUCCUCUCAACCAACACAGCCUCGCGUGAGAAUCUCUUGUACUUCGAGCAAUACGCUUUGCAAAGGGGCGGCGACACCUGGACCAUGGACUGCAAAACCAGGAACCACUGACAAGGUGCACCACGAGGACCACUCAAAAUAACCAUCAUUGCUGCGAGCUUCGCUAGCGGCACCAAGUUGGCAGCCCUGCAUCUGGUACAUGCAAUGAAUGAUCCCACAGGUCCUUCGUGCGUUUCAUCCAGUACUCGCUCCACCAAAGAUGACGUCCACGGUUUGACCGUCCCUCAGCCGAUAGUUUCUUCUGCCUGCUGGUGCCCACUGCGUUCUCGUGAUGGACCUUUGCUCGGCGACCUGCGGUCAAUUGCCUUGCCAACCUUCGCACCUGGCACACGCAAGGGACAAUCCUGCCGGUCCUUGUACGUCAUCCACUCCUUGCUUCAGACAAGAUGACGACCCC